rnacentral:misc_RNA from 1 species
AUCCACAGUAAUGCAUCUUGUGGGAAGACAACGUACGUACACUGUAAGGCCGGCCGUGGACGUAGUACAACCAUUGUCCUUUGCUACCUGGUCAAACACAAGGACAUGACACCUGAGGCUGCUUAUGAUUAUGUCAGAUCCAUCAGACCAAGGGUGUUGUUGGCCCCCUCUCAGUGGCAGGCUGUUCAAGAAUACUACACAAGAGUAAAAAAUAUUGAUAAUGAUGUUUGUAGAGAUGAUAAUUCAUCGAAAAUGCUUGACGUUCCAGCUCAAAAAGAAGUUGCUGUCUUUGAUGAUGGCUCGGUUGUUCUAGUCUCUGAAUGUGACCUUGAUGGAUAUGAUGAAAGUGUUGAGUCAGAUCUAACACGUAACGAAGUGUUAGUGGAUUUAAACCUUGCAUGUAGAGGAGUUCAAGUUGCUCGCCAAGCAGCAAUUUCUCGGCUUUCAUACCUUUGGCUUCGCUAUCAUUCAACGAAGAAGCUGGGAAGUAUUGGCGUUGACAUCCAUGUUUAUUGAGAUGUCAUAUAUAUCCUAGGCUGUUGUCUG